UAUCAUGAUGAGCAUUUUAUUUUACUGCGUUAUCGUAUUGACGGGGGGCUGUUUAAGUACAGUCUUGCUUUAUAAUCUAUAUUCAUUUAUAUUUUAUAUUUCUUACCAAGGAAAUUGACUUUUAACAGAUCUGCUGAAA
rnacentral:snoRNA from 1 species